rnacentral:rRNA from 1 species
CCAAAAAUCUAGCCUACACAAACCUACCACUAUGCACAAACCAAUAAAAUAUUUUAACGCCCUAGUAAAGACGAUUGAAAAACCUGCAAGAGCUAUAGACAUUGUACCGCAAGGGAAAGAUGAAAUAAAUUAAAUACUUAAGCACAAUAUAGUAGAGAUUUCCCCUCGUACCUUUUGCAUCAUGAUUUAACUAGUUUAUUCAAGCACAAAGACUUAAAGUUUGAACCCCCGAAACUGAGUGAGCUACUUCAUAGCAGCUUUAUGAGCGAACCUAUCUCUGUUGCAAAAGAGUAGGAAGACUAUCAAGUAGAAGUGACAAACCUAACGAACUCGGUGAUAGCUGGUUUCUCGGGAAAAGAAUCUUAGUUCAGCCUAAAGACAAUACAAUAUCCACAUACAAAUAUCACUUUAACUUUAGAGUAAUUCAAACAAGGUACAGCCUGUUUGAAAAAGGACACAACCUUAAACUGCGGGUAAUAAUCACCAUUAAUAUCAAGUAGGCCUAAAAGCAGCCAUCUUAGCAAAAUGCGUCAAAGCUUCAUAUAUUCUAACACGCAAACCCUCAUAGACCCCCCCCCCACCACUGAGAACUUCUAUGCCAACAUAGAAAAUUUUAUGUUAAAACUAGUAACAAGAAAAAAUUCUCUACCAAUAGAAAUGUGAGCCAAAAUGGACCUCCCGCCGGCACUUACUCAGCCAUGAAAAAUAAUAGCAACUUAUCAAGAAAACUCUAUUUUUAGUACUGUUAACCUUACACAAGACUAUUUCAAGAAAGAUUAAAAUGGAAAGAAGGAACUCGGCAAAUGGAGAUCCCGCCUGUUUACCAAAAACAUCGCCUCUUGCCCCCCCCCAUAAGAGGUCUAGCCUGCCCAGUGACUAAAAUUCAACGGCCGCGGUAUCCUGACCGCGCGAAGGUAGCGUAAUCACUUGUUUUUUAAAUAAAGACUAGUAUGAACGGCAUCACGAAGAUCAAACUGUCUCCUCUCCACAAUCAGUGAAACUAAUCUCCCCGUGAAAAAGCAGGGAUUAACCUACAAGACGAAAAGACCCUAUGGAGCUUUAAACACAUAACUAUUGCCCCUAGCACUAUAGUUAUAGUUUUAGGUUGGGGUGACCACGGAGAAAAACCUAUCCUCCAUGACGAAUAAGUUUACUUUAAACAAAAAAUCACAACUUUAUGCAUCAACAAAUUGACCUACUGACCCAAUAAUUUGAUCAGCGAACCAAGUUACCCUAGGGAUAACAGCGCAAUCCACUUUGAGAGUUCAUAUCGACAAGUGGGCUUACGACCUCGAUGUUGGAUCAGGGUACCCCAGUGGUGCAGCCGCUACUAAAGGU